rnacentral:rRNA from 1 species
UAGGGAAUCUUCCGCAAUGGACGAAAGUCUGACGGAGCAACGCCGCGUGAGUGAUGAAGGUCUUCGGAUCGUAAAACUCUGUUGUUAGGGAAGAACAAGUAUAAGGCGAAUAACCUUAUACCUUGACGGUACCUAACCAGAAAGCCCCGGCUAACUACGUGCCAGCAGCCGCGGUAAUACGUAGGGGGCGAGCGUUGUCCGGAAUUAUUGGGCGUAAAGGGUGCGUAGGCGGUCUUCUAAGUCUGAUGUGAAAGCCCCCGGCUUAACCGGGGAGGGUCAUUGGAAACUGGAAGACUUGAGUGCAGAAGAGGAGAGCGGAAUUCCACGUGUAGCGGUGAAAUGCGUAGAGAUGUGGAGGAACACCAGUGGCGAAGGCGGCUCUCUGGUCUGUAACUGACGCUGAGGCACGAAAGCGUGGGGAGCAAACAGG